rnacentral:ribozyme from 1 species
AUCAUAUAUUAGGGCUUGCUUGAUACUACGCAUUCAUUCGACAAAAACAAUUCCUUUUCUGUUUC